CAUAUCCCUAGUUACUUCCUUUCUUUGUACAAAAUCCCUUCAUUAGUGGUGAAUAGGAUUAACAAAAUACAAAGGGAUUUUCUUUGGCCAAGUUUUGGGGAGGGAUCACCCUAUAAGUUGGAACCAAGUUUGAAAGUCUAAGGAGGAAGGAGAGUUGGGGUUAAGGAGAAUUUCUUUGAGGGCCCCCCCCAUUAGGGAAGUGGCUUUGGAGGUUUCUUAGGAAAAGUUUAGCCCUUUAGCAUAAGGUUAUAUUGAGCAUCUAUGGGAUACUUCCCAAAGGUUGGAUGCUAACAUUUCAUUCAGGUGAUCAUAUUGUUGCCCUUGAAGGCCAUUGCUUAGGUCUUUUAGGAUAUCUCCAUUCAUAUCCAGUUUUUGGUCGGCAAUGGGCAAAGAUUUGCUUAUAGGAAGAUUUGUGGUGGGGGAACGUCCUUUGAUUUAUCAAUUUCUUAAUCUAUAUAAAAUUGUGUUGGAGAUAAGUUUAAAAAUCUGUUAAAUGCACAUGUUUUCAAGAUAAUUAUUUUGAAUGUAAUAUUUAUAAAUAGUUAUGCUUAAAUUACUUUCAUUAAUUUUCGUAGUCUUUGAUAUAUAGCAUAGAUAAAUAAUCUUUUAAAAAAUUAUUAGCACACAUGAGUUUUCUCUACUAUUGAAGAUUAGUUUGAAAAGUUAUUAAAUACAUGUAUUUUAAAUUACUUGCAAUAAUUUUCAUAGUUUUUGAUAUGUAGCAUAGAUAAAUAAUAGUUUUAUGUUUUACCAUGCUAUAGCCUAACAAUGAAAAAUGAUGUAAGAUAAAAUAAAAUUAUUUAUAAGAGUAAUUUAUUUUUGGUUUGAGUCAGAUUUUUCAUAAUUUACUUUUAAUUUAGUUUUCUAAUAUGGUUAAUUAAAUAAAUAAAUUAUUUGUAACAUUAGAGCUAUUUUAUAAAUGUAAUUUAUUAUGUUUUUUAACUAUUGAACUGUAGUCUAUUGUGUUUUCAAGUAUUCAAAUUCAAUAAAAUAAAAUUUUUAUUUUCAAAGUCAUAUUCCUUAUCAAUGCAUGUUGUAUUAUUGACUAAUGUCACAAAUUUUAUCAUGCAUAUGGUAUUUUCUUAAAAAAAACCUAAUUUAAUUUGUGCAUCACUUUUACUUUUAUUACAUUCCUCAUUUUUUUUUUCAAAAUUUUCUUAUUUUUGGUCAACUUUCAUUUUUUUUUUCAAUCCUUUAGCAGUAUUUUAAUUGAUUUCGUUAUUGUUGUAAAAUUGAACCAUCGAUAUUUUGUUGAUAUUGACAUUUUCAUCAUUGAUUAGUCAUGAUAGAUGCAUUAUUAGUGGGAAGUGUGUGAACCACUUGUUUCAUCAUUCUCUUGGCUCAUAAGACUUAUGACAACUAUUUUCUCUUUCAUGAGCAUUCUCUAGGUGGUCUUAAAAAGACUCUAGACACAUUAACUAUUUUGUUUCAAGGGUUCAUCGAAGGUGAUAGGAGUGGAGUCCUUUAGGAAUGUUGGAUGUUUGGGGAUUGUCAAAGACAUUUAACUAAGUUGACAGAUAAGAUUUUAUCUUGGAGUUCUCUUUAUGUCUCAGUGGUUCUAUUCAACCAGGGUUUGAUUGUUUAUCCUAAUUUAGGGGCAACCUUUCUAGUGCUAGUUACUUUUAGUCAACUUCAUGGAAUGUUUUGAUUGAAAAAUGGACCUUCCAAAAACCUUUCAUAUCAAUAAAUAGUUUAUUUCUGAUUAAAAAAAGUGGAUGUUGCUUUUGCCUUUGAUUGUGUCCUUUUUUUGUUUUCUCCUAUGUGUACGUGAAUGUGUGAUAAGAUUCAUGUUUUGUCAAAUCAUUUAUUCCUAAAUUUUAAUGCAUUUUAUAUGUUAAAAUGUAUUUGUAGUGUAUUGCAAUAAUUUGUUUAACUUAUUUUCUUUUAUGUAAGGAGUAUUUCAUUUAUCAGUCUUCUUUUGCAGAUAUUUGCAGGCCAAUAUUUGUAGUGUAUUGAAAUAAUUUGUUUAUCUUAUUUUCUUUUAUGUUAAGAGUAUUUCAUUUAUCAAUCUUCUUUUGCAGAUAUUUGCAGGGCAACUACUUAAGUGGAUUAAUUCCUAGUGAGUUGGGUAGCCUUUUAGAGCUUAAAGAUCUGUGAGUUGUUUCUCUUAUGCUAGCUAUUGUUUGUUUGUUAAAAUGGUUUAAUUUUUACAGAUUGGACAACAAAUUAUAAAGUAAAGGUUCUAUAGAAACUUGAACUCCCUAUCUUAAUGAGAGUUUAUGAUAUGUAGGUUUCAAACACCUAUCAACUUGACAUCUGUGUCCACUUGUUUACUAACUUUUUUGGGCACCUAUAAAAGACUAAAAUUGUAAGCCUUUGGUUACAAAAGGGAGAUAACAGUUAAUUGAUCAUGAUAAUUAAGGCUUUUUUAUGGUGGUUUUAGAGAAGAUGGGAUUCAUGCAGAGAUAGAUCAAAUGGAUUAGAUGGUGUAUCUCCACUGCAAAAUUCUUAGUGCUUGUAAAUGGGACUCUGACUGACUUCUUCCAAAGUUCUCGGGGUUGAGGCAAUUGUUCAUUUUGGCCAUGGAGGCACUUGGUCGGAUUUUGUUGAGUAUGGGGUUUGAAGUUGGGUGGUAGAGGUGGCAAAGGGCAAGAAAUGACCCACUUGUUGUGUUGAUGACCCUCUUGUUUUCUAUGAUGCUAGGUAAGAUCAUGUGGAAUAUCUAAGUUGGUCAUUCAUGUGGUUUGAGGCAAUUUUGGGUUUUACAAUUAAUAUGAAGAAGAGCAAGCUGAUUUUGGUUGGAGGUGAUGACUAUGUGGAGAUGUUAAUUGCUUUCCUGUGUUGGAGGGUGGGGCAACUCCCUUCUACUUACCUAGGCUCUUUGUUGGGUGUUUCGUUUAAAUCAGCUAGGACAUGGAACUUGGUGGAGGAGAGGUUUUAAAAGAGGCUUGCUUUGUAGAAGGGGCAAUAUUUGUCUAAAGGAGGGAGACUCACUUUGAUUUUCUAGUUUUCCAAUUUACUUUAUGUCUAUGUUCGUUAUCCUAAAAAAGGUGGACCGAAGGUUAGAGCAGGUCAAAAGAAACUUCCUUUAAGGUGGGGUAGAGCUUGCAAAAAAAACCACACUUUGUUAGGUGGCCUAUUGUUUGCUUGGACAAAAGAGCAGAGGUGUAGAUAUUAGAAACCUCUAUGUUUGGAAGGAGGCUCUUCUCAGUAAGUGGUGUUGGAGAUUUGCGAUUGAGAGGAAUUCUCUUUGGAAGCGAGUUAUUUCUUAAAAAUUUGGGGAAGACAAAGAGGGAUGGUGCUCAGGGACAGUGAGAAAUGGUUAUGUGGUGGGUGUGUGGAAAGUGAUCAGAAAAGAAUGAGAUUUUGUGAAGGGUAGAGUUCGCUUGUCUAUUGGCAAUUGAAGAAGGGCCAAGUUUUAGAAAGGUAGAUGGAAUGGUGAUUUAUCUUUGGAAGAAUCUUUUCUGUUGUUGUUCUCUUUUGCCACAAACAAAGAUGCAUGGGUUGUGGAUGUAUGGGAGCAAUAUGAGGAAAGUGGCUGGUGGAGCCCUCAAUUUUCUAGGCAAUUUCAUGAUUGGGAACUUAAAGUAGCGAUUGACUUUUUUCAGAAACUCCAAGCUUUCUCAGUUAGGAGAGAGGAGGAUGAUAGUUUGGAGUAGAAGGAAUCCAAGGAUGGCAAAUUCUCCAUUAAAUCCUUCUAUCUCUCUUUAGUCCAAGGAAGAAGUCAGCCUUUCUCUGCAAGUUGAUUGUGGAAUUCCUAGGCUUCGACGAAGGUGAGUUUUUUUUGCUUGGGAAGCAUCAUGGAGCAAAAUUUUGAUGAUCGAGCCACUCAAAAGGAGGGGAUGGAGUAUUCUGACUUGGUGUUACAUUUGUAAAAAGGAUGAGGAGUUGACUAAUCAUUGCUCCUCUAUUGCUAUAUGACUAGUAUUUUGUGGCAGUUGAUUUUUCUAUGUUUGGUGUAGUUUAGGUGAUGCAUUCCUUGGUAAGGGGAACUUUGUUAAGCUGACAUGACUCCUUCAUGGGCAAGACAUAGAAGGGCCUUUGAAAAUUCAGAAAAAUUAGAACAAGUAAUUAAACUACUGUUUAUGAAUACUCUUGCAGAAUGGGUUAAAUUGUAUGGUGAUGUUAAUCCCAUGUCCGUCAUAGACUUUGUAGAUUAGAUUGGUUCUAAGGAGUGGGGUAGAGGGGAUAUUGUUUUUUGUUCCUUCCUUUAUCUUCUUCUUGCCCGUCCUUCUGUGCCAUUUCUAUACUUUACAUGUACUUUGCUACACCUAUAGUGCAGGCAUUGUACUUAUUUCUUUAUAUAUAUUUGUAGUCUUUCUUGUUACUGUUGAAAUAAUGCCAAAGUUAGGACUUUAAUUUAGGAAUAAAAAAGGAGAGAUCAUUUAGGAUAUUUCCUUAUGAUUUAGUUUCCUAAUUUUAGGAGAGAAUUAAGCUAGAUUGAUUUUUUCUUAUUCAGUCAUUUGUGUAUAUAUAUGUGUAUGGUGUGUACCGAUUAACAUCAAUAAAGGAGUUCAGAAAUUCUUCAUGGUAUCAGAGCCAGUUUUCUGAAACCCUAAUCCCUUCUGGUCACCUCUUAUUCAGGCCAUCACUCAUUCCGGCCAAAUCUCUCUGGCCAUAUCUCAAUCCGAUCAUCUCUCUCUCUCUCUCUCUGUCUCUCAUUCCGGUCAUCAGUCCCUGUUCUCAGAGCCAAGGGAGAAAACGCUUUCCGGUCAAUCGAAUCGUCGUCAGAAAACACUCACCGCCAGAAACUUUUCCGGCGAACUUUUCCGGCGAACUUUCCGGCGACGGUUUUUUCUACACCGCAAGGAGCGCCUGGAGGAGAUCUCCAAUUUGUCCCAAAGCACCGGAACCAGAAACCCAUCCACGCGCCGCCCACGCGCGUUUUUCCGGCCGGCGACUGCAUCUCACGCGCCGGCGCGUGAGGGCGCGUGAGCCACUUUCCGGCGACGCGCUUCCUCCUCCAGGCUCGCCUGACGCCGACCAGCCACCCUUCCUACCUGCUUGUGCAAUCCGAGCCCUGCACGUGCCUCUUUUGGGGUUCUUUUGCUUCCGCGGGCCCUCUAAUCAGAUUUUCCGGCGUCCUCCGGCUAUUUUUUCUCAACUCCAGUCCCUGCACGUGCCUUGAAAAGUGUUCUUCUACCUUUCCGGUCCAUGACAAAAUACGGAAUGGCAUCAUCACAAGUAUCCAGCGUCACGUCACCAGAAUCAGGGGGCAGAUCUGAAAUUCCAAACCUUGGUGGCAAUGAUUCCUCUCCUAUUCUCAUCACAGGACACAAAUUAAAUGGCCAUAACUAUUUACAGUGGUCACAAUCUGUGUUGCUGUUCAUUUGCGGUAAAGGAAAGGAUGAGUACCUCACUGGAGAAGCAGUCAUGCCGGAAACUACAGAACCGGGUUUCAGGAAGUGGAAGAUUGAAAACAGCAUGAUCAUGUCAUGGCUUAUCAAUUCCAUGAACAAUGACAUAGGCGAAAAUUUCUUGUUGUUUGGGACUGCAAAGGACAUAUGGGAUGCAGCCAAAGAAACUUACUCAAGUUCUGAAAAUACUUCAGAACUGUUUCAGGUUGAAUCAGCUCUACAUGACUUCCGUCAAGGAGAGCAGUCAGUUACUCAGUAUUACAACACACUCACAAGGUAUUGGCAGCAACUUGACUUAUUUGAGACUCACUCAUGGAAAUGUUCGGAUGAUGCAGCAACAUACAGGCAAAUUGUGGAACAAAAGAGACUGUUCAAGUUCUUCCUAGGACUAAACAGGGAAUUGGAUGAUGUUAGAGGCCGAAUCAUGGGCAUUAAACCCCUGCCAAGUCUCAGGGAGGCUUUUUCAGAGGUUAGGCGUGAAGAAAGUAGAAAGAAAGUGAUGAUGGGAUCAAAAGAGCAACCUGCCCCAACAUUGGAUGCCUCUGCCCUUGCUGCUCGGUCAUUUAAUAGUAGUGGUGGAGAUCGUCAGAAACGGGAUAGGCCUUGGUGUGAUUAUUGUAAGAAACCAGGUCAUUAUAAGGAGACUUGCUGGAAGCUUCAUGGCAAACCUGCUGAUUGGAAACCAAAGCCACGGUUUGACAGAGAUGGCAGAGCACACGUGGCUGCCAACUCUGAGAGCACAUCUGUUCCCGAGCCGAGUCCAUUCAACAAAGAGCAGAUGGAGAUGCUACAGAAAUUAUUAAGCCAAGUUGGCAGUGGCAGUACUACCGGUGUAGCCUUCACUGCUAAUCGAGGAGGAAUGAGGCCGUGGAUAGUAGACACAGGUGCUUCUGAUCACAUGACAGGAGAUGCUGCCAUUCUUCAAAAUUACAAGCCAAGUAAUGGUCAUUCAUCCGUCCAUAUUGCUGAUGGUUCAAAGUCAAAAAUUGCCGGGACAGGUUCUAUAAAACUUACUAAAGACUUAUAUCUUGACUCUGUCCUCCAUGUUCCAAACUUGGAUUGUAAUCUUUUGUCCAUUAGCAAAUUGGCUCAUGAUCUCCAAUGUGUUACUAAAUUCUAUCCAAACUUGUGUGUUUUUCAGGACUUGAAAUCGGGGAAGAUGAUUGGCAGUGCUGAACUGUGUUCCGGGCUCUACCUCCUUUCAUGUGGCCAAUUCUCAAACCAAGUCUCUCAAGCAAGUUGCGUACAGUCUCAGAGUAUGUCAGAGUCUUUCAAUUCUGUGUCAAAUUCUAAGGUCAAUAAAGAUAGUGAGAUUAUAAUGUUACACUAUCGCCUUGGUCAUCCUAGCUUUGUUUACCUUGCAAAAUUGUUUCCCAGAUUAUUUAUCAAUAAAAAUCCAGCAUCUUAUCACUGUGAAAUUUGUCAGUUUGCAAAGCAUACUCGAACAGUAUAUCCUCAAAUCCCAUACAAACCUUCGACUGUUUUCUCUCUAGUACAUAGUGAUGUGUGGGGUCCCUCCCGGAUAAAAAAUAUUUCUGGCACUCGAUGGUUUGUGACAUUCGUUGAUGAUCAUACUCGGGUAACAUGGGUUUUCCUUAUGAAAGAAAAGUCAGAGGUCGGGCACAUUUUUCAAACCUUCAAUCUUAUGGUUCAAAAUCAAUUCAAUUCCAAAAUACAAGUCCUCAAGUCAGAUAAUGCAAAGGAAUACUUUACUAGUAGUCUCAGUACUUAUCUUCAAAAUCAUGGCAUUAUCCACAUAAGUUCUUGCGUUGACACCCCACAACAAAAUGGGGUGGCCGAACGCAAGAAUAGACAUCUCUUGGAAGUUGCCCGGUGCCUUAUGUUUUCCUCUAAUGUUCCAAACUAUUUCUGGGGGGAAGCUAUUCUCACAGCUACCUAUUUGAUUAACCGUAUGCCAUCCAGAGUGCUUACCUUUCAAUCCCCACGUCAACUUUUCUUAAAACAGUUUCCUCACACCCAUGCCGCCUCUUCUGAUUUACCACUCAAAGUAUUUGGUUGUACGGCAUUCGUUCAUGUGUAUCCUCAAAAUCGUAGCAAAUUUGCUCCUCGAGCAAAUAAGUGCAUUUUUCUAGGGUAUUCUCCAACCCAAAAAGGGUACAAAUGCUAUUCUCCAACCAACAAAAGAUUUUACACCACCAUGGACGUCUCUUUCUUUGAACAUGUCUUCUUCUAUCCCAAAUCUCAUGUUCAGGGGGAGAGCAUGAAUGAACAUCAAGUUUGGGAGUCUUUUCUUGAGGGUGUACCUUCUUUUCACUCAGAGUCACCAAAUCCUUCCCAAUUCGCGCCCACUGAGUUGUCCACACCCAUGCCGCCAUCAGUUCAGCCAGCCCAGCACACAAAUGUUCCUUCUCCCGUGACCAUCCAGUCUCCCAUGCCUAUUCAACCUAUAGCCCCACAACUUGCUAAUGAGAACUUACAAGUUUACAUCAGGAGGAGGAAAAGACAGGAAUUAGAGCACGGAUCACAGUCAACAUAUGACCAAUAUAUUGACUCCAAUUCAAGUCUUCCUGAAGAGAACAUAGGUGAGGAUAGGGCUGGAGAGGUGUUAAUUCCCAGCAUUGAUGAUUCUACUUUGCCAAUUGCAUUGAGGAAGGGUGUUAGGAGAUGUACAGAUCAUCCAAUUGGGAAUUAUGUUACGUAUGAAGGGUUAUCACCAUCUUACAGAGCAUUUGCUACUUCUCUUGAUGAUACUCAGGUUCCCAACACAAUACAAGAGGCAUUAAAAAUUUCAGAAUGGAAGAAGGCAGUACAAGAUGAGAUUGAUGCACUUGAGAAGAAUGGGACGUGGACUAUCACAGAUUUGCCGGUUGGGAAGAGGCCUGUGGGGUGCAAGUGGAUUUUCACCAUAAAAUACAAAGCAGAUGGAUCAGUCGAAAGAUUCAAGGCUCGUUUGGUAGCUAGAGGGUUUACACAAUCCUAUGGGAUAGACUAUCAGGAGACUUUUGCUCCUGUUGCAAAACUAAACACUAUCAGGAUCCUUCUCUCAUUGGCUGUCAAUCAAGAUUGGUGCUUGCAACAACUGGACAUAAAAAAUGCGUUUCUAAAUGGGGACCUAGAAGAGGAAGUCUACAUGGAAAUACCACCUGGUUUCGAAGAAAGUAUGGCAAAGAAUCAGGUUUGCAAACUCCAAAAAUCAUUGUACGGCCUUAAACAAUCUCCUCGAGCCUGGUUUGAUAGAUUCACAAAAGCAGUCCUAAAGCUGGGCUACAAACAAGGUCAGGCUGAUCAUACUCUAUUUGUCAAGAAGUCUCAUGCCGGGAAAUUGGCCAUAUUGAUAGUCUAUGUCGAUGAUAUUAUUCUAUCUGGAAAUGAUAUGGGGGAGUUACAGAAUUUGAAGAAGUAUUUGUCAGAAGAGUUUGAAGUUAAAGACCUUGGAAAUUUGAAAUAUUUCCUUGGUAUGGAAGUGGCUAGAUCAAGGAAGGGAAUCGUAGUCUCUCAAAGAAAAUACAUACUCGAUCUUCUUAAGGAGACCGGUAUGCUUGGAUGCAAACCAAUUGAUACUCCUAUGGAUAGUCAGAAGAAACUUGGUAUCGAGAAAGAAAGUACACCGGUAGACAGGGGGAGAUAUCAGCGGCUUGUCGGGCGCUUGAUUUAUCUCUCACACACUCGGCCAGAUAUUGGCUUUGCAGUGAGUGCUGUAAGUCAAUUCAUGCACAGCCCCACUGAGGAACACAUGGAAGCAGUCUACAGGAUUCUUAGAUAUUUAAAAAUGACACCAGGGAAAGGCCUAUUCUUCAGAAAGACAGAGAACCGUGACACUGAAGUAUACUCAGAUGCGGAUUGGGCAGGAAACAUCAUUGACAGGCGGUCCACUUCCGGAUAUUGUUCUUUUGUCUGGGGAAAUCUUGUUACCUGGAGGAGUAAGAAGCAAUCAGUUGUAGCCAGAAGUAGUGCAGAAGCUGAGUACAGAGCUCUUGCACAGGGAAUCUGUGAAGGGAUUUGGAUAAAAAGGGUUCUUAGUGAACUGGGACAAACGAGUUCAUCUCCAAUUCUGAUGAUGUGUGAUAAUCAGGCAGCUAUAAGCAUAGCAAAGAACCCCGUGCAUCAUGACAGGACCAAGCAUGUUGAGAUUGACAGACACUUUAUCACAGAGAAGGUGACUAGUGAGACGGUCAAAUUAAACUAUGUUCCUACCAAGCACCAAACCGCAGACAUCCUCACCAAAGCUUUACCUAGGCCUAACUUCGAAGACUUAACUUGCAAGCUGGGAUUAUAUGAUAUAUAUUCUCCAGCUUGAGGGGGAGUGUUGAAAUAAUGCCAAAGUUAGGACUUUAAUUUAGGAAUAAAAAAGGAGAGAUCAUUUAGGAUAUUUCCUUAUGAUUUAGUUUCCUAAUUUUAGGAGAGAAUUAAGCUAGAUUGAUUUUUUCUUAUUCAGUCAUUUGUGUAUAUAUAUGUGUAUGGUGUGUACCGAUUAACAUCAAUAAAGGAGUUCAGAAAUUCUUCAGUUACCUAUAAAAAAAAAGACCACUGUGGAUCCUAUAUUUGUUGCCUCAAGCAUAACAGGCCUAUUAACUUCUCUAGGAAUUUUUUUUUCACUGAUAAGUAAAAUAUGUUGAAAACAUAAGAGCGCAGGUUCAACAAUUGCAAUGUAGAAAGGAAAAAGAUACAUGAGCCUUGUUUGGGAGAGCUUCCUGAACAUUAAAAGCAGUAUUUGAAAGUCAAACAUAAUUUUGAAGAGUGUUUUGAUAAAACUCUCAACUAGGGUACCCACACUUUUCAAUAUGAUUUAUUCAUGUAUUGAACAAUAGCAACUAGGGUCUUCAAGCAUAACAAGCCUAUUAACUUCUCUUGGAAAUAUUUUUUUCACUGAUAAGAAAAAUAUAUUGAAAACAUAAGAGCACAGGUUCAACAAUAGCAAUGUAGAAAGGAAAAAGAUAUAUAAGCCUUGUUUGGGAGAGCUUCUCGAACACUAAAAGCAGUACUUGAAAGUCAAACAUAAUUUUGAGGAGUGUUUGGAUAAAACUCUCAACUAGGGUCUCCACGCUUUUCAAUAUGAUUUAUUAAUGUUUUGAAGAAGUAGUGAGAUCCAUUCUUUUCCUCAACCAUGAUGCUGGGAGCAAUUUUCACUUAAUUAAAAAUUUUAAAAUGUUAUAAUUAUCCUUAUAUCUAAUAAAAACAUUAGGUUGUUUGGUUCAGUUUAUUAUGGCAAGAAAAAAUAUGAUUUGGUGUUAUAUGUCACAAACUCAUUCACUUAAGUGUUUCCUGAUCUCACAGGGAUAUUUCAAGCAACUCUCUCAGUGGAUAUAUUCCUCCAUCACUUGGGAAGUUAGACAAGCUCUCAACUUUGUAAGUGUGCUUGCUUUCUUCCAGUUAAUCUAAUGCUAGACAAUAUUUCUGAGUUUAUAAUAUUUCAUUGAAGUCAAUAUUCAUUAUUAUAUUCCUAUGUUUUGAAGCAAUGUGUCAACCAAUUUUCUGGUUGGACCAAUACCAUCUGAUGGUGUACUCACCAAUUUUUCUGGGAACUCGUAAGUACAAUCUUUCUUAACCUAAUUUCAUUCUAACAUGUUUCAAUAAGUAUCAAGCAAUAUAGUUCCUUGAAUUUCUUUUUACGUUUUUGAGGAUUGCUUCAUCUGGCUUGCAAGAAUUGGGUUCAGGCUCUUUAUGUAACUGCUUAUGAAAUUGUACUUUUAUAUGUUUUCUGUCCUGGUUAACUAUUAGAACUUGUGAAGUAGCUAAUAUCAUGUGGAGAAACAUUCUUAUUGUGAAUCGUCUUUGUAAUCCUGAAGUUAAUACCUAGUUUUUGUGUUAUAUUUUUGAAUUUGACAUAUUGUGAGAUUCUAUGUUUCUGAAGGGGAUUCUGGCAAGCUGAAAAAUGAAACUAAUGGGACUGAAUAUUAGCUUCAGUGCUUUCUUUCUUUCUUUUUAAUUAUUUUUUUGUUGGUAUCAAUUCCAUACAGAAUACUAAUUUAAGGAUGAGCCAUCCUUCAAGAAUAAAAAGAAGGAUACACGCACUAGAAAAGGAGGCACAGCAGUAGUUAGAAUUGCUUGCAGUUCUCCCAGUAGACACUGAAGGUAAAAACACCUUAAGGAGGCAUGAAAUCCCCACAAAGCUGUCUAUUGAAGAUCUGUUUGGCUAAUUAGUUAGCUACUUGACUGUAGGAUCCAUUUGAAAUAUCAUCCUAAAAGCCUCACUGUAUUGAUGAUCUUGCUUGGAUGUGUUUUCACGCCCAUAUGAUUGAUAAUAAGGUUUUAUUGUCACUUGUGGUAGUCUAUGAGAGUUGAAGUUUGGAAUGAGUAAUUGACACAUUCUACAUCUAUAUAUAUAUAUAUAUAUAUAUUGUAUGUGUGUAUGUAUAAAGACAAUAUAAAAAAAGAUUUCUUAUCUUUCCAACAGAAAAUACAAUAAGCAAAACUAGGAAGAAUAAAACUCAAUCUCAGAUCAAGUGGAAAAAUGCUAGGACACCUGAGAAUUCCUAGUAAUACAUACCUAAAGAGUUGUAAAAUUGUAUAUCUAUCCUAGCAUCUUACAUCAAUAUCCACCUAGCCUAAAAAUUCUGGUAUAGCAAAGAUAGCUCCUCUCAAUAAGGCUACCUUGUAAAGAGGUCUUUGGUAAGGUUGAAACUCAGAAGCAGCAUGCUUUGAUUUUGGUGGAUUUUUGGGACAAGGAAGAGAGUGCUCGUUCAUUGUCUAUGGAAGAGGAGGAAGCUAGGAAGGAGGCAAGAGAGACUUAUAAAAAGUGGGUCCUUUUAGAAAAGGCGUUGUGGAGGCAGAAGUCUAGAGAAAUUUGGCUGAAGGAGGGGGAUAGAAAUACAAGGUUCUUUCAUCAGAUGGCUAAUGCUUGUAGAAGGAGGAAUCAACUAACUAGAGUAAAAGUCAAUGGGAGGUGGUUCACUGAGGAAAAUGAAAUUAAAGAGGAAGUGAGCAGAGCUUUCCAGGGUCUGUUGUCAGAUCCUGGAGGAUGGAAGCCCAAUAUAGAUGGGUUGAUUUUUGAGAGGUUGGAAGGAUUAGAUGUGGAAGGGUUGGAGAAGCCUUUUUUGGGGGAGGAGGUCUUUGGUGUGUUGUCAGGUUUCUGCGGGGAGAAAGCGCCAGGCCCUAAGGGUUUCCCAAUGGCUUUCUAGUAGUAUUCUUGGGACUUUGUAAAGGUGGAGGUGAUGAACUUCUUCAGACAGUUCCAUGAUUUCGGGAGCUUUGUACGGAGUCUGAAUGCAACCUAUCUAGUGCUGAUUCCUAAGAAAGGGGGGGUUGAGGACUUGAAGGAUUUUAGGCUAAUUAACUUGGUGGGAGGGUUGUACAAGUGGUUAACCAAGGUGCUGACUAAUAGGUUGAAGGGGGUGUUAGCUAUGGUGAUCUCAACGUCUCAAAAUGCGUUUGUGGAGGGGCGGCAGAUUAUGGAUGCAGUGCUUAUUUCUAAUGAAGCAAUAGACUCGAUUUUGAAAAGCAAUAGAGGGGUGAUUCUAUGCAAAUUGGACAUUGAGAAAGCCUAUGAUCAUGUGGAGUGGUCUUUUCUUUUGGCGGUGUUGGAGAAGAUGGGGUUUGGGGAAAAGUGGUGUAGAUGGAUAAAGUGGUGUUUAUCCAUUGCUAGAUUCUCUGUUUUGGUGAAUGGAACCCUUAUUAGAUUUUUUUAGAGCUCAAGGGGUUUAAGGCAAGGAGAUCCCCUUUCGCCUUAUUUGUUCGUAAUUGUGAUGGAGGCUUUCAGCUGUCUGCUGAAGAGAGCAGUUUCUGGAGGCUUUUUAUCUCCUUGCUCGGUUCAAGGAAGAAGGGGUGAAGGGGUCCAGGUCUCUCACUUGCUGUUUGCUGACGAUACUUUGAUUUUUUGUGAGGUGAGGGAGGAAUAGUUGACGUGUUUGUGCUGGCUGUUAAUGUGGUUUGAGACAAUUUUGGGGUUAAGAGUGAAUCUGGACAAAAGUGAGCUGAUUCUGGUUGGUAGGGUAGAGAAUGUGGAAGAGCCGACCGAAGAGUUCGGUUAUAAGGUGGGAAGAUUGCCUUCCACUUACUUAGGAAUGCCGUUGGGUGCUCCUUUUAAAUCUACAGCCGCUUGGUAUGGAAUUGAAGAAAGAUUCCGCAAGAGAUUGACUAUGUGGAAACGUCAAUACAUUUCUAAGGGAGGGAGGACCACCUUAAUUUGCAGUACUUUGUCUAAUCUGCUGAUCUAUUUCAUGUCUAUUUUUCAGUUGCCUAGGGCGGUUAGAAUGAGAUUGGAGCAUAUUCAAAGGGAUUUUUUGUGGGGUGGUGGGCUCUUGAGCAAAAACCUUACUUAGUAAGGUGGCCAAUUGUUUGUUUAGAUAAAAGAAAAGGAGGGCUGGGGGUUAAGAGUCUUGGGACAUUCAAUAGGGCUCUCUUUGGCAAGUGGAGUUGGCGCUUUGCAAAUGAAAGAAAGGCCCUUUGGAACCAAGUGAUUAGAAGGAAAUAUGAGGAGGAAAGAGGGUGGAGCUCUUGUGAGGCUAGGGAGGCUUAUGGAGUUGGGUUGUGGAAAGCAAUUAGAAAGUUAGGACACUUAGUGACCCCUUCUUUUGACUUUGUGGUGGGUGAUGGAAGGAAGGUGAGAUUUUGGAAAGACAAGUGGUGUGGAACCACCCCUUUGUGCGAGUCUUUCCCUUGUUUAUUUGCUCUAGCAACUUCCAAAGAGGCUUGGGUAAAUGAAGUUUGGAUAGCUGCGGGGGAAAGGGGGGGAAGUUGGAGCCCUUGUUUCCCUAGAUGUUUCAAUGAUUGGGAGAUGGAAGAGGUGGAAAGGUUGUUUUGUUGCUUGGAUGGGAAGAAGGUUAAUGUGGGUGAGGAGGAUAGGGUGAGGUGGAUGGACUCAAAGGAUGGCUUGUUUUCGGUAAAGUCUUUGUAUAGAGCCUUGCAGCCAGUUUCUCUUGUUUCUUUCCCUUUGAAGAUUAUAUGGAACUCUUGUGUGCAACCUAAAUUAAGUUUCUUUGCUUGGGAGGCUUCGUGGGGAAAAGCUCUAACCUUGGAUCGUUUGCAAAAGAGGGGUUGGGCUUUGGCUAAUAGAUGCUUUCUGUGCUAAAUGUUUGAGGAUUGACUGAUCACCUCCUUCUUCAUUGUGAAAAAACAAGGGAAGUGUGGAUGUUGCUCCUUUCUUUGUUUGGAGUGUCUUGGGUGUUUCUCUUUUCGGUAAAAGGAAACCCUCUUAUGGUGGAGGGGUUCUUUUGUGGGUAAAAAGAGGAAGACAAUGUGGCAAGCAGGACCGUUAUGCUUGUUUUGGGCCAUUUGGAAGGCAAGGAAUAAAAUUGCCUUUGAAGAUAGUGUGUUGUCCAUCCAAAGGCUAAAAGCUUCUUUUGUGUAUUUAUUGUGGUUGGAGACCAAAUUGUGGAUAAAAGGUGGUCCUUCGACUUUAAUAAAUUUUAUAGAUUGGGUGGGUUCGUGGUGAGGGAGAAGGUUUUUUGUUUUCCUUGUUGUUUUUGGGUCCAGCUGUAAGGGGGUGAGUGUCUCUAUGCUGUACUUCUGUGGGUCGCUAUUUUAGCGCCUCUUCGUAAUACAAUUCUUUUGCUUAUUGAUAAAAAAAAGAAAAAAAAGAAAAGGCUACCCUGUAAGGAUCUUUUUUCUGUUUGAUUUGCAAUGCCUCUCAGGAACCAAAACUGCUAUGCAAAGUGUUGCCAAUAAAGGAGGAGAUGGUCAGAUGACUCACCACAUGUUAUACAUAGAAUGUGACAAUCAGGGCUAUUGCAGAAGCAAAAUCAUUAUUUUGACCUUUUAUUAACCACUAACCGUACAAAAACCCUGAUUUGCAUGAGUGUUUUUUGACUUCAGAUUAACUUCACUAGGGCGAUAGAACUGGGGUUCAGACUUCAAAAGAGCAGAGAAGAAGGAUUUAAUUCAGAAGAAUACCAGGAACCAGGGUCCAACAUAUCUAGUCUGUGGUUAACAUAGAAAGAAAAACAUUUUACAAAGAUAGGGGAGAGAAGGGACAGUGGUCAUUAAUUAGUAGGUCCCUUGAGUUUGUACAAAAAUCAAAAUUUCAGGCUGAGGAAUUAUAAGAUAUAGAGAAGAUAGAUAUGGAAAAACUCUGAAUCGGGAUAGGAGAUGAAGGUGGGGUUGGUGGCAAAAGAGCUGAACCCCACUUCACUGCUCUUCCCAAAACCAGUGAACAAGCUAUUUCCACUGCUUGAAAAAUGUACAACAAAUGGAGUCCUGAGAGCCAUGUCCUAUUGCUUUCUAAGAAUACUGAAGUUACCACAAAAUUGGCAUCUGAUCAAUUAACUAUAUAAACCAUGAAUACUUUUAAUCCUGAUGCUAUAAAGCAAGCUCCCAAGUAACCACCAUAACCACUUUACCAAUAAAGACUAUUCCUUGCAGAAAUACCCCAGGCCUACCCCUCCAUAAGGAUGCUGUAUGACAACAAAUCUGAGCAAAUAGAACUUUAUGAAUAUUGUGGAUACAUUUGCAAAUAAUAUGCCCAUACAGUUUAUUUCAGUUCAAGAAUGGAUAUAAACGACCUUUAGAUCCAUUGUAAGAUGUGUGCACUCACAACCCAAAUUAGGGUUAACCUUAUCUCUUGUGGGACACACAACCCCAAGGGUAGGGAUCAACUCCGUGUCUUUAUGGACUAAACCUGGUGGCAAAACCAAUCCCACACACUUGCAUCAAAGUGUCUUCCUGAACGAUUUUUAGGAUAUUCACCCAAGGACCCAUGGUCCUAUAUAUAUAUAUAUAUAUAUUCAACCAUUUCUCAAGGUUUUUUUUUUUUUUAAUAGGUAAUCAAAAUCAAUUUAUAAAAAGUAACACCGGAGAAAGUGUUACAAAGUAUACAAGAAGUAUACAAAGAAACUCCUCAAAGCAACACAAAAACAAGGAGAAACAUCAACAACCCCCUUAGCCCAAACCCAAGCACUCCACAAAAACUAAGGAAUGAGGCCUAGGAACUAGGUGCAUCUUGCACCAAGCCCAAAGAUUACAAGCAAGGAAGGAUUUCAACCCUUGAAUUGAUCGUCCCUCAUUAUCAAAUGCCCUACUAUUUCUUUCCUUCCAAACAGUACAAAAAAGGCAUGAAGCUCGAUGAAUACAUGCUUCAAGAUAACUCUACCUUAUAUCAUGUUUUUCCCUCCUAAUCAAGAUUAUACAUAUAUAUAUAUAUAUAUAUGUGUGUGUGUGUGUAUGUAUGUAUGUAUAUGGAAGCAUACAUCAUGCUUCAGUACAAUAAACAACAUGAUACCAUAAGACAAUGGUUCAUAUUCAAUCCAUCUUAUCCCACAUGGGCACUUCAUGUGAACUUCCAUAGUAUUCCGUACCAUGCAGUGCUAUAAGCAUAUGCAUAUCCUUUUUUUAUUCCUUUCUCAACUAUAAAUGUGAGCUUUUCUUGGUUAUUGCAUCCCAAUAAUAAUGAGCAAUUGUUAGUUUUGCAGUUUAGUAAAUCCAACCUAUCUUAAUGCCUAUUUAAAGAUUAAAUUCUGGACAAUAAGAUCUUCCAAGUUUGAAGUUAUAAUCUCUAGUCAAAUGUCUAAAAAUUGAGGUGGCUUUUUUUCAUGCAAUGCUAGUCUCAAGAAAGAAGAUUGGAAACCAAAAUGUUUGAAUUAUAUACUUAAUAUUACUCAAUAGUUAUCAAUAUUAUACUGUUGUUUCAUGCCAAAACUUGUUGAAUCCAUACAAUUGUACUUUGGAUGUGAUCUAUGACUUUAAGCCUCAAGGAACCCAUUUUACAAUGAAGCAAAACAAUUCUCAUUUGAUUGGGAGUUUUUACAGGGAGUUACUGUUUAUUAACUAGGAUGUGUUCAAAUUAACCAUAUAUGUUUCUUAGCAGCACCAUAACUUUUUUCCACAUUCCAUAUGCGUUUCUUUUUUCCUUUUCUUUUUUCUUUUUCUUUUUCCCCAUAACUUUAGAAGUCAUAAGUUGUAGCAAUACCCUACAGAUUCUAUGUCAUAUAACUUAAUGUACAAACUCAAGCUCUAAAAUCAAACCCCACAGGUAAGGUUCAUAAAUAAAAUUUGGAGUAAUAUUCACACAUUUUUUUGAUGGAGUAAUAUUCACACAUCAUAGCCAUAUGUCAAGAACUUCAAUUUGAUUAUCUAACCAUCAAUGAAAUCAGAUUACAACUUAAACAAAUCAUAAGAAUGACCUACCUCACACCAUAAAUUCAACUCCCAACAUCAAAGGACUCCUUUCUUUUUCUCUCUUCUCUUUCUUUCUUCCUUUGUGCAUGACUUCAAUUGGCCACUUUAAAGGAUAUGACCUAAUUAAUCAAGCUAAAUUCAAUUAAACAAUACCCAAACUUAAUCACUUUAAAUUAGUUUUGGAAGAAAAUUGUUCGUUUAUUUGCUUCAAAUGAAAGCUUGAAACACAAUAUUAGCAAAAGCUCCAACUUCUUCCUUUUUUCCUCAUGCUUCAUUUACCAUUUCUAUCUUUCUAACUCAGCCAUUUCUGGCAGAUUUUUUUAGAGCUGAAAAUGAGGCCGAACACCCCUUACGUUUAGGUGCAGAGAAAGUCUGAGGUGGCAUGUGCUAGUUUGCCACCCAUUACCUCUUUUUCUAUUUGCACCUAAGCCCUUUUGCUUUUAACUCUUCCCAGUUUCAAUUUCAAUUUCCUCUUUUGAUGGAUUGCAAUUUCAAUCUCCUUAUAGUAGUAAUUUUUAGUAGGUGCUAAUCCAUGAAUGUUUGGCCUCAUUAAAUGCAUUUAGCAUUAAACUGGGUUUAAUAUAUAAUUAAAAUGAUUAGUUUUAAUGAUGUUUAACUCAUAACUAAACCUGGUUAGCCUUAAAAAUAAUUUUAACCUGUAAUUAAUAACAAUUAAUCUUUAUGCAAAGAUGUAGGGUUUUAACAAUACUUCCAGGUAUUACAGUUGUUUUAGGGAAGUUGGUGAAAGGCUAGUGGUGGUGUUUUUAAGAGGGUGGGGUGUUUUUCCGACUUGGUGUUUGAAUAGCCAUUAAAAGAGGUUAGAUCACGUUAGUUUAUGAAAUAACAUCUUUGUAGGGAAUGACAAUAGAACGAAGUUGGUCUGGCAGUUGUUGUGGGGAUUUUGCUUUGAAGGAUCAUUCCUGGACUUGUUUAAUGUUGCUGCAACAGGGAAGCUGCAGUAGCCUAUUAUUGGUUGUGGAGGGUGGUCAGGGUCACUUGUGUCCUGGUCUGAUCCCAGACCAAGGGUACAUAUGUCCUUUGCUGACAGUAUUUUCUGUGAUGCUUUUAUCAUGUUAUGUUGAGGGUUGCUCUUGACUUCAUUCUGGACAUAUGCAAAACUCAGCUUAGAGAAGAAUAUGACUCUUCGGUUCCCUUUAUUGGUACUUUAUCUCUAUUUGUGUUUGUUUUUAAUUUUUAGGGACUGUUAUUCUCUUUUUUCAUAUCAGAACAAACCAUUUAAUUUCAUUUAAAUAGUAAAUAUAAAGUAGGAUAAAAAAUCCUCCCAAGGUUUACAAAAAACUGAUCAAGAAUGGAAAAAUAUGCCUAUAUUACUCCCAGGUAAAGAAAAACAAUUAGCACAUCUUAUAAAAAGGAAUCCAAAAUCAAGCACAAUCCAAAAAUGAGCCUUUUGCUAAAGGAUCUGCUGAGUGAUUGGUUAGCGUGGUUCCUGAGUUAAGGAACACCUCAGGUUUCUAGCAACAUCAAUAAGCUGGAGGGUCUAUCCAUCAUACUUCCAUGGAUCUUUCUCAUUUUGGAAUGACAUUGACAGAGUUACCCUCAACCUACAAAUCUAAAAGACUCAAAGCUUUGGCCUGCAACAGACUUGCCAAACCAAAAGAGCUUGUAUCACUCACUAUAACACAAUGAUCUGCAUGCACUCCAAUCCCCAGUUGUUUUAUGUUACCGAAGGAACAUCAUCGAAGUUUAAUUUUGUUGAUUAUAGUUCAGUUAGUAGUCUUUUUAAGGUUUUCUUCUCAAGUUUGCUAGAAGGAUGGCUAAUCCUCUUAUACUAUAUUCUCUUUAUAUGAUAAACCUCAUUCUCUUAUACUAUAUUCUCUUUAUCUGAUAAACCUUAUUAUCUUAUACUAUAUUAUAUUGUUGUUUCUCAUGAGAAAAAAAAAAAAUUCUCUUUAUCUAAUAAACCAUUCUUUUCUCCUACACAAGAAGACUUCGUUAGUGUUUAACUAUUGCUCCUCUUCCACUUCUAGGGUGCCAAAUAUGCUCUCCAUCCUUAAGGUAGAUUCAAGCUUAACUUUGAUGGAUUCUCAAAAGAGAGCCUCAAAACAAUUGGCAUUGGAAGCAUUUUUAUGGAUGAUUUGGGGAAGAUCAAGAAUGUGCCUCCUAUGCUAAAUGAGAGGGGUAGUUGUAUAGAGCCACCCAUUUUCUCUAAGAUUCUCCAUAUGACAUUGAAGUCCCCUCAUACACACCAAAUUGGGAAAGUUAGACCAAAAAGGUCUUAAAGCUCCAACUAGAAAUCCUUCCUCAAGUUAGAAUUAUUGGGACCAUAAACUGAUGUGAACUAAAAGGUCCCCUCUUCAUUAGAACUCAACUUAAUAGUUACUAAAAAAGACCUAAAACCAUCUCUAAACAAUUGAACUUGUUUGAGUCCCAUAUUAGUAUGAUUCCUCUGAUGCCCCACAAGCCGGAAGAACCUAAUCCUUAUUUCUACCUUUCCAGACAUUGCCCACAAGCAUUCUAUCACAAGUCUCAUUCUUUUUUUCCUAAAGCAUCACAAUGUCUAGGUUUUCAAAGCUAAGAAAAUCCUUUACAAUCCUUCUUUUCUCUCUGGAACCCAACCCUCUAAUAUUCCAAUUAAUGAUCUUCAUGUGGACACUUAAGAGCCCUUCAAACUACCAAAUCAAACCUAAGAAUCCCUAAGAACUCCAGAUAAAGUCCUAUACUUUCUUCUAAAAUAAACCUUAACCAAUGGUUGUGCGUUGCUAUUGUCCACUGGGAAGACAGUCUCACUGCCUUUGACUAGCUUGAUGUUCAUAGUUUCCAAAACCUACUCUACAUUGGCCAUUUUAUUGGGUGUGGGACCCUGUAUGUGAAAUCCUCCUAGUGAGGAAGAGACUGGUUCUAGGGAUUGAUCACUGACUAUGAAAAGGUGCUCAGUAGGGCUGCUAAAUUGUGCCCUGAGAAAAGAAAAGCCUUACAGUCAAACAUGGUUCCAAAAUUGUCUUUUUUCUCCAUGUUGUAUGGGCAACCUUGUAUAGUGGAGGAGUUUAGUCUUUUUGUUAAGGGUUUUGUAUUCGUGGGAAGGAUUUCGCAUCCUUCUUUUAUACUUUUUAUUAACAAUUAAUACAUCUUUGGUUUUUUAAUCAAAUUGCAAAAAAUGUUUUUUUUUUUUUAGUGAUUGGAAGCAAUAAAAUUCUGUAAUUACUGUGUUCUCAUUGAGACAUAAUGAGAUUUUUUUUUUCUUUUUUUUUUCUCAUUUUCUCAAUUAUUUUGUUGAACUCCUAGGGGGAAUACGGCUAGAAUGAACUUUUUUCAUGUAUUUGGUUAUCCCUAUUUCUCAAUAUGCUUUAACUUUAUUAUUUAUUUAUGAUGAUUCCCACCCGAGUAAAAUUUUGACUUCAUGCAUUUCUUUCUCUCUUGGGAUAUGGGUUCACUUUGUGUAUAUAACAUGUGAUGGAUGUAUUUCACUUUUAGCUGUUGAAAUAAAUGGGCAAUAUAAAAUCUUUGCUACAAGGAGAAAACUUAGUUGCAGUCAAAACAAGUGAGAGUGGUAAGAAAUGCAACUGUAGAAAUAAAUUAAUAAUAUAAGUGUGUAUAAUAAGAAGGGAAAAUUAGCUUCCCAUCAAAUAAAGCACAAUGACAAAGAAAUUGCAUACUGAUGAAAAAUAGUAAGCCACUCCAAUAAAAAGGAAAAAAAAAAAGUGAAAAAUAGCAGGCAGCAAGUGCUUGUGGGUAUCAGAGGGAAACCUCCUUCAUUUCUGUUCAGUACCAUUGUCCUACUAUUUGAAAUGUAACUAAGUAUUAAUAUUUAACUAUUGAAUGAUUCAUGUUGUCUUAAAGUGAUUUCUUGGCAUAUACACUUCAUUGAGGAGGAUGUAGUGCAUGCUGUUUUAAUAUAUCAUACUUCCUGGUCCAGCAAAUUUUCCCAAAUUAUUGGCAACUAAAUUGUUGUUACAUUAGAGUAUUGUAAAAGGAGUAUGUUAGAAAGCCAAACAAUAUUGUUAUGUCCUGCAAUGUUGAUUUAAUGCAUUAUUUUGCAGCUUUGUCGGAAAUCGCGGUUUGUGUGGGAAGCAGAUUAAUAUCACCUGCAAAGACGACAGUGGAGGGGCUGGAACAAAAUCACAACCUCCCAUUUUAGGUAGAUCUGCUUGAUCUAGGGUUAUUCAUUGGUUGUAAAAUGUUACAUUGCUCUAGCAUUUUUUAAAUUGAAUGCUUGCAUUUCUUGUCUGCAAAGGGUUUAGUUUCCAUGACAAAGGAACUGAAUCUUUUGCUGUUUAUGUCUACAAUAUGGGUCCAGAAGAUUGAUAUACUCCUUGUUUAUCUCAAUAAUUUUCCUCAGGCAAUUCUGUUAUUUUGUUGAGUAUUAUUACAUUCACUACUUGAUCAAUAGUGCUUAUUUACGGUGAUAUCUUACUUUGUUGGUGUUUUGUACUUUUAGACCAAAACCAAGUUGGGAAGAAGAAAUACUCUGGCCGACUACUUAUAAGUGCAUCAGCAACAGUGGGUGCACUGCUUUUGGUGGCACUUAUGUGCUUUUGGGGCUGCUUUCUUUAUAAAAAAUGUGGUAAAAAUGAUGGCAGGAGUCUUGCAAUGGAUGUUAGUGGAGGUGCUGUUCUCAUAACUAUUCUAUAACCUACUGUCUGAAUGUUUAUUGGGCUAAUAUUUAUUAUAUCCUUGUCCUUUUGGGAUCCUAGAAUUCAAUCAUAUCUAUUGACAAGUUAUAUAACUUCAGGUGCAUCAAUUGUUAUGUUUCAUGGAGACCUGCCAUACUCUUCAAAAGAUAUCAUCAAAAAGCUGGAGACAUUGAAUGAGGAACACAUAAUUGGUUCAGGCGGCUUUGGAACAGUGUACAAGCUUGCCAUGGAUGAUGGCAAUGUGUUUGCUUUGAAAAGAAUUGUAAAGAUGAAUGAGUGCUUUGAUCGUUUUUUUGAGAGGGAGCUUGAAAUUCUUGGAAGCAUAAAACACAGAUACCUGGUGAAUUUGCGAGGAUAUUGCAAUUCUCCCACCUCCAAAUUGUUAAUUUAUGAUUACUUACCUGGCGGUAGCCUGGAUGAGGCUCUUCAUGGUGAGAUCCCUUUCUCUCUUCUAUUUAUAUGCUUUGAAUGUGUUUUAUGUGUAUGAUAAACAUGCAUGAUGUUGAAAAAUGUUGCAUAAGCAUGAUGCCGCAGGGGGGACAUGUGGCACUUACAACCGGAUGUUUGUUCAAAUGUUAGCCUUCUACUUGACCACCCCCAGCACAACAUCAACCUUAAACUUAUGAUAGUGAUGGUUACCUAUAUUCAUUGGCAUGGUCACCUGCUCCUUCAUCACCCCUGAUGCAAUAUCAUCCUUGAAACAUAUCAUGUCAUUGAUCUGAAUCUUGUGCCUAGAUUACUCACAAUAUGUAGUGAUGUCAUUAUGUUAUGAGGAUACCAAAAGAAAGAAAAAAGAUUGUUACAAGUUUUUGUGGUUUAUUUAUACCCUGUUUCACAUAAGCUCCUAGUGGAAAUGAGUUACUGUUAGCUUAGGGUUAGCUGGUAAAAUUUGGCAAUAUAAUAAGGACUAAAAGAUUACAGUAGAUUGAGAAGCCAAAACUGCUCUUGGUUUUAUAUGGGUGGACAAAAAUCCUGUUUUCUAUGCUUCUUGAAUUGGAGCAACAAUUCACCAUGCGCAACUCAUGGAUGACCUCUGACACCAAGCUAUAAAUAGGUUCUUUUGUAAGAACAUGAACCAAUCUUUAAGAGAUACAACUUUAACCUGUUAUAUGUUGCUGAUGCAUGGCCUGCUUACAAUAUGGUUGUAUAGUCAGGUUGUAUGAAGUUGUGAGCAACACUGAUGGGCCUUUUUUUUUUUUUAUCAUAAGAUAUGCCCAUUGAGCUCUUCCUCUGAUUAAACAGAGUUGACAUUUUCAGUAGAUUUUCACAGGCCUUCAACUGUAAUCUGUCUGCAUGUUCCACACAAGGCUGAUGGCUAAGAGAGGCAAAAUAUAUGAUGAAUGAAAGAAAUAGUUAUAAAAUUCUUAGGAUUUUCCUGCAGCUCAAUUAUGACACCAAUGGGGUUGAUCCUUUCAAAUCAAAGCAGAAGUAAGACAAUUGAAAGAUAAUGCAUCCAGAUCACAGUUUGCACCCAUCUUGAUCAGACAACAAGGUGUUCUUGAAGAUUUUUAAGACAUGUUCAUCACAUGAUUUCCUACAUUGAAUUUGAACACAUAGUUCUUUAUAUUUUUGUUAAUGGAGUUCAAGAAGUCAGUUCUAAAGAUAGAUGAUUGUUUCAUUCAUUUAUUAAUGAUCACAAAAAAUUCAUUUUAUAAAGAAUCUGGGAUGGCAAAAAGACAUCUUACAGUUUACUGAUGUAGUCCAAUUCGACUUUCUUCUGGUGAGAAGCACCAUAUAGUUUUUGUUUUUUGGAGCAUUAACUUCUUGUGCAAUAUGUUUUCCCUUUAUAAUUUUGGAAUGACGUAAUCUAUAAGUUUUUUGUUUUAGAAUAGAUCCUAUAUUCUUUGUAUAAUAAUGACUUCUUAUGUGUGACACAGAGAGAUCAGAGCAACUAGACUGGGAUGCACGCUUGAAUAUUAUCAUGGGAGCUGCAAAAGGACUAGCCUACCUGCAUCAUGAUUGUUCCCCUCGGAUUAUACACCGUGACAUAAAGUCGAGCAACAUCUUGCUUGAUGGCAAUUUGGAGGCUCGAGUAUCUGACUUUGGACUUGCUAAAUUGUUGGAGGAUGAGGAAUCUCAUAUUACAACCAUUGUAGCAGGAACUUUUGGUUAUUUGGCUCCAGGUGAGUAAUGUAGUAAACUGUUCAUCUCACAUAUUAUAUUUAAGAAUGUUCCAAUUGGCACUUGGCUUUUGAUAGACUUGAUGGAAUGGUAGAAAAUGAUUCUCUUUCACUUGUUGAAGACUUUUGUCAGGCUUUCAUCUUCUCCUGAAAAUUUCUUAAACAUGCAAAAUGGUAUAUUAUGGCCCUGCCUAGGUUCUCCUAGGCAGAAUUUCAUGCAAUAAGAUGAGUGUAUCGAUCCCUUUUGUUGCAUUCUUUUAGAGGAUCAAGACGAUACGAUGAAUGUUUUGAGGAAGAAAAUAAAAGGACUAGUCCUUGCGGCCCAGCUCAAGUAGCAAGGGGUUUGGGUGGGGGAUAUGGGAGGUUUCAGGAACAAGUCCCAAUAGGGAUGAGGAAAAUAGAAAAAAUUCACAUACAAAAAUUAAAUAAACCAACAGGCAAGAAAAGUAAACUGAAGUGAAAAUUUCAGAGUUUGUCAUGGUAAGGCAUUGGUUGAGGCAUCCCUCUUGGGAAAGUGUAAAGCAUUAUUAAGUUGAAUUUACCUUUAUUAUACAAGACAAAAUUCCAGCAGCUAAUACUUUUGAUUUAUAAUGCCUUGUAUAAAAAGUAUCUUCCAAGUAUGGUGUCUGAAUCAGCUGCUUAGAAUACUUGGACAGUGUUGAUAUUUAGCUUAUAAUCCAAGUAUCAUAUUAAAGCAGAGGACAGGAAUCUGGAUAUACUUGCAGAAUUGGACCCUAUUGUUUUUCUUUUGAUAAAACUGUAGCAUAGAAAUUGUGUUGAUUUGAAUCUUUGAUCCUGAGUUCCUCUGUCACUCCAUCUGCAGAGUAUAUGCAAAGCGGUAGAGCAACAGAGAAAACCGACAUUUAUAGUUUUGGGGUUCUGAUGCUUGAAGUAUUGGCUGGGAAGCGACCCACUGAUGCUUCGUUCAUUGAAAAGGGCCUCAACAUUGUUGGCUGGGUAUGUCUCCUUGCUAUGCUUGUUAAGAUUGUUUUAAGCUUAUUUACCUUAUAUCUUCUUUCAUCAGGAUCAUUUCCGGUAACCAAUUAUCAUAAUUCACUUUUCUCUGAAGGUAUUUGAGAUUAAACUAUCACACUAGAAAAGUACAAAACUAGCUAAUAGCAUGGUGCAUUUGCUAUUGUACCUAAUUCAGCAAGGAAUGAAAAACUAUCCUUUGUUCUUCAUGAUGUCAAAUCAGUUUUUGUUCAUAUGACAAUUGCAUAUUUAGUUUCUUUUUUUCUUUUUUCCCUGCUGUUCAUUUUCUUCUGUCCUGCAAUAUCUUUCCAUGCCAUCUAUCUAAGGGUUCUGUAUUUUUGAAUGCCAUGAGGAACUAGCCUGCACAAAAUGCAUGGAUUUAGAGUCAGGUGACAAAGAGAAUAAGAGAGGAUAUUAUAUUCUAAAUGCUAUGUGAAUUGGGAAAUGAACUUCCAGAAAAAUUUUAGUUAAGGUAAUGCUUCCAAAACAUUGGACUCUGUCCGUCCACACAGAUAUCAAUGAACUUUUAUGAAUUGGUUUCAAAGGAUUCAGCCAAUUGUCUUCAUUGUGGGAUAUUGUUGAGAUAGGAAUCCAUGUUGCCAUAGUCUGCAUACUUGGAAUUCAUGUCUGUUCCAAUUACGGUGGGAGACAAACUGUCCAUUAAUCUGGCUCAUCUUUCUUCCUGCUAUUUUAUUUUUUAUUUUUUAUUUUUUUUGAUAGAUUAAAUUUUCUUUGGUCCCCAUUGAGACUCUAAUCCAUAACAAGAGCAAAUCUAUUGUUAUCCCCAAUAAUAGAAUCUUCAACAUGUUGACAUAGAAUAGAAUAGAAAAGAAAAAUACACCACAGUGUCUGUUUCAGAUAUGCCCUGUGAGUUAAUAGAAUAGAGCACCAUCACAAUGCCAUGCAGUCCUAGAAUCCAAAAAUUACAAAUGGAUGUUGGUUUGAGUUCACUUACCAAAAUCAAACCUACUUCAUGGAUUAUAUAAGCGAUUAAGUGAGUAGAAGCUGACUGUUUCUCCGAACUAUCUUAAAAGCCAAGUAGUCUAUAAAUAAGGAAGAAAUGAAGAUCUCAAGAGACAGAAAGAUGUCAUUAUGGGGUAUGCUGUUCAAAACUCCUUUUAGUCAAAGGAUUGUCCUCAGGGUUACAAUUUCCAGGAACCAUUGUCCUUUGAAAGUUUAGUUAGUAAAAGAUUGACAAGAUGUUGAUGAUGAUCGAUUAUGAAACAAUGUUUCCAUAUAUGUGCCUGAUGCAAGAAGCAUAAUAUAAUCAUUGGUUAUGGUGGUUGCACUAACAUGUCAAAAAUGUGGUGAAGGAAUGAGGUCAGGAAAUUGAGCCACAUCAAGGGGUAUACAAAUAAUACAACUCUCUAGGCUGAUUAAGGAUUCUUGUUUUCUGUGUAGCUGAAUUUUGAUGGCUUAUGUGAUGUGCUUCCUCUAAUGUAAUGUCAUAAUUAACUAGAAAGCUCAUGUUAGAUGAAUAAUUAUACAUAUUGACCUGGAAUAAUGAAGAUUACUGGAUCUUUCUGCUGUCAUAUUGAGGAGUGUUGGUUUUUAAAAGUUUGUAGAUUUUAGUUAUGGAAUAUCUAGAGGGGGAUAAAUAGUUAUUAAUUCCCUUUUAGCCCAAAUUUUUGUUUUAUAAUUUCUCUUUAAGGAUCAUAGAAGAAGUAGAGAAAUCAAUUGCAUAGGACACAACAAUUUUUACGUGGAAAAUCACCCAUAAAGUAUCAAAGACUUCAUGGAUGUAAAACGAUGGGGUUUAGAGAAAUUAAUUGCACGAUAUACAACAAUUUUUACGUGGAAAACCAUCCAUAAAGUCUACUGGAGACUUUAUGGAUGUAAAAACCAUGGGGUUUAGAGACCAUAAAGCUAAUUCACUAUUGAAAGAAAAGUACAUAGAUUUACUUGGUGGAUGCUAUCCAUAAGUCUUACUCCACAAUAUACAUACUAGUCUUUAUAUCCAUGAUGCAAUAUCAUAUGUGCACCCAGUGAACUACCUUAACACUUGAGAGGAUGCAGAUCUCUCUCAUGAAACCAAGAACGAGAAUAAUGAACAGUUUGAGAGUUUUCGGAUGCGGGAAAAACUAAUAAUUGGCUUCUCUAAAACUUGCAUCAUGACUAAAAGACAUUUAUGGCAUGACAUUUAUAGGGGUGGUUCCCAGUGGAUGAAUUCCAGAAUUUUCCAAAGAGAAUCUAUUAAAAAAUGGAAAGAAUUAACUCUGAAAUUCUAGAGAAUUUUGCCUUGAGCGCUUAAACAUUUAUAAGGAAUGCUUGAGCGCCAAGUUUGUGCACUUGAGCACUCAACUAACUUCUUAAUUCAAUAAUUAAAAACAUUUUUUGCUCAAUCCAAAAACCUAAAAUCCAUUAUUUUUUAUUUAUUUAUUUAUUUAUUUAAUCGAGGAACUCUCCAUGGCCAAGUCCUUAGAACUCUCCUUGGGGACCCAAACCUCGGGUGUUGAUUGCCCUGCAACAAUCAGCAUCGGCUAAAAUCCACUUUAUGCCAUAAUUUAACCAAAUUAGCAUUUUCUGAACCUUUCUAUACUUGUGUCAUCCCGGGUCAAUCAUGCAGCAACCUUGAGUCUUCAAAGAAGAGAGAGGCACAGUAGACUAGAAAAGUCUUAAGCCAAGAUGAAUGGUAUAAAAUUGCUAACUUAAACUAAGCAACCUAAUGCACCAACAGUUUUUAUCUUAAUUGUGUAUCUUCAGGGAAGGGAGCCUUCUUGACCACCCUCAAGCUCUACGGGGUUAAGUUUUUCACAACUAGAGAGAAUUUAGCAUAAUGAGAAACUAGAUAUUGCAGUUCAAGAUAUGAGGCUCUAUGCUUCAAUGGCGGAGAAAGGGAAAUGAAGAAAAUGAAUAUGCACAGAAAAUUUGUGGUAAAUAAUUACAAUCAAAUGAUGUCAAGAAGAUGGCAGUCUUUUCUAUCUCUUAGUGUCUCUGUUUAAGAGAUUUUGAAUAAGAAUGGGGCUCUGGUAUCAAACUGUGCAAGACUAAAGGAGAUAUGCUUCUGUUGCCACUGGAUGGAUGGGAAUUUGUGUAAUGUAUGUUCAGUUCACGAGUUUCAUCAGGAGUUAUGAAUAAAAGUAAAUCAAUUCAACUUAGAAAAUGACUGAACUAGCAAUUGAAAGUACCUAGUGUUCGUUAAUUGAUUACACUCACUAGUAGGAGUUUAAUGGUAAGCCUUUGACGAAGUUGAACUGAGUGUCUCUAGCAUGUAAUGCCACACUCCUCAUGGCAACUCUCUAUCCAACUGCUAUCACUAAAAAAUGGUUUGAAGGUGAGCCCUUGAAGCACUUGAAAUUGGCUUCUCAAGCGGGUAACAACCACCCUCCUAGUUGUCCCUCCCUGUCUGACAAAUUUUGAUAAAUGUGUUGCUUGAGAUUGAGAUUUGAUGCUGGAUUCCUCUGAGAUCCCCUGCAGAGAGGGGAGCUGUGUAUGACUCCUUCCAUGCAGAGAUGAACCAGGGUGUCUAUAAAUUAGCUUCUCUGCUUGUACAGCUGUUGAUGCCACCAUGCAUAUGGGAAGUUCCACUGGAGUAGCAUCUUGUAGGCCUUGAGCAUUGCAACCUGAAGUAAACUUCCUGGCUUCUGAUGCCAAGUUGUGGUCUAGGGGAAAGGUUCUAAUAUUAAGAGGAGCUGAAGAAGAUUACACUUAUUGUCUAUCUCCCGCAUUACAUACAAUUAUCAAUGAGGCAAAAUGGGAAAAAUGUCCCUAUACAACAGAUAUUUCUCCAACUGCUUACAGUCUGUUACCUUCUUCCUCCAGACAAUCAUGCUCAUGCUUCAUAUCUAGACAUGUGCACAUGUAUUCAUAUAAAAGUGGGACAUUUUGGUUAAUACUAGAUGUUCUUGUCUAUCCAAUUGGUUGAUCCAUCUCUUUUGUUUUGCCUUGCAGUUGAAUUUUCUGGUUACAGAAAAUAGGCAACGGGAGAUUGUUGAUCCACAAUGUGAAGGGGUCCAGUCAGAAAGUCUUGAUGCCCUGCUCUCGGUUGCCAUCCAGUGUGUAUCUCCAGGACCUGAGGAUCGCCCAACGAUGCACAGGGUGGUCCAGAUACUUGAAUCUGAAGUCAUGACUCCAUGCCCUAGUGACUUUUAUGAUUCCAACUCAGACUGAGAGCCCUCUGGGAGACAAAGAAGACAUGCUUUUGUUCAUAUUCCAUGUUAUUACAGCUUCUCCCAACAAACUAGGAAGGUUAUGCAUGCCGUGAGGGACUCAAAAUCUGCAAGGUUUCAUCCUCCACUUCAUUUAUUCAUUUCUUUUGCAGAUGUAUGACAACUAGAAGAUGCCUUAUUCCAUCCAUCCAUUCAUUUAUAUGCCUUGUUCCAUCCAUCCAUUCAUUUAUCACCAAAAUCCAAGCACCUGAUCAGCCACCAAUGGGAUUCAAGGUAAAACGGCCUACUUUUGUUAUCCUCAUUUUGCAUGGAUUGCAUGCAGACUUUCCUUUAUCAACCUGAAUGAAUUUUCCACUUGUGGUAUGCUUUAUCCGUUUCUCCUUAUAUUUAUUUUCCCCUCUUUGGUAAUCUUCUCUAGCAAUUGUUCUCUCAAAUUAAAUGUAUAAAAACAUGUACAAAUUGAAACCUCCAUUUUAGACCAAUCCUUGUUUAUGCCAUUUUUGUAAAAUAUGUUUCCUUUGCUAUAGUCAAUUCCUUGAAUCACUCUACGAGGCUCAAAACUCCUAUAUGAUUAUUUGACUUGGGGUUGUAACUAUUACAUUUGCCUUCAAUUCUGUCUAGUUUUCCACAGGGAUUUUGCGAGAUAUUGUUCCAUUUGAUCCAUCUACAUCCAUGUCUUUUCUGUUCUAUCAACUGUGUAAAUCUUUAAUGUGGAUAGGUUUGAUUUAUAUCAUCUUCAUAGCAUGUGGGUAUGUUGAGGGCAGAGCAGAGCAAUGUACUAUUUUCUAUUCCUGAGAACUGAAAAUAUGCCCAGAAAACAUGUUUGGUACCGCAUUUUUUCAUGCUUUUAUUUUCAGUCUCUUUAAGAAAAUUUAAGUUCUGGAAUCUUCGUAAUGUUUUGAGGAUUGGGAAUCAGGUGAUGGUAUCUAUUUUCGCAGGAUGACUGAAUUGAUUUGUUGUCAUAGCAGGUAGGGUUUUUUCUCUGUUCAGUCUAGUUGAAGAUGACUUUUGAUGGUGGGGGGUAACGGGAAUUAUAGGGCCUCUUUGGUAACAGUUUUUGAGAACGGUUCUCAAAGAACAAUUAUUAGAAGCAGUUUUCAACUGUUUUCAAGAACAAAAUUUGUUUAAAAGCUCAAAUUGUUUUUUCUUUGUACUAAAGAACAUGCAACUGUUUUCAAGAUCACUUACCAAACAGACCCCAAGACUUUGUCUUUGAGGUUGAAACAAAAUGUGAUGACAGUAAAGGGUGAGAGUAUUGUAACGUUGUACUCGGUGAUACGUGUAAAUGGGUGGAUUUGAUUGUAUAAUAAGGGUGUGUUUGGGAGGCUUUUUAUUUGAAGCAUUUUCUUUAGAAACGUUUUUAGUCUUGUCGAGAGCUAUAAAUGAUUUUUAAUUUUUAAAAAUACCUAAUUUUUUUUCUUUCAAAAACCUUUUUGUACGUUAGAAAUAUUUUAAAAAAUAAUUAUGUUAAUAUUUUCUAGGAAUUUGUCCCUUGUUACUAUUAUCAUGGAUUCGAUGGGGAAAAAGUUGAUGUGUGAAGGAAAACGAUUUGGAUGAGAGUGCUCUUGAUAAACACGUUCAUUUGAGAGUGAUUUUAAGAUGGAGCAAAAGCAUUUCAUAAUGUUUAGAAACGCUUUCUUAGGUGUUUGAUAAAUUUUUAAAAAUUCAAAGAAUGAUUUGAAAUGAUAUUCAUAAACAACGAUUUAGAUCAUUUUUACAAAAAUCACCUUUGAUUAUAUACAAAGUAUUAAAAAAUAUAUUAUCCUAACAUUGAUUCCUCAACUGUUUUUAAUGGAAGCAUUGAUAACAAAAAUACAUUAGAUCACUAAAUCUUUCGACUGGACUGUAGAGUAAAAAUGUUUUUAUCCUUUCUACUAUUUGAAAAUUUUUAUGUAAUAGAAAAUUUUUAUUUUAGAAAUAUUAAAAAUACUUUUUAAAAUCAACGGCAAACAUGCUCUUCUGUUUGGUAAUUUAAAAAACACUUUUUAGUACAAAAGUGUCUUUGAAGAAAAAUAAGCAUUUCGCAAUUUAAAAAAGGUUAAAAAAGAUAGUGUUUUUUUAAGAACAUUGGAUAAAUAAUUCUUUUAAAAAUAUCUAUAAAAAAUGUUUUCACUAUUCAAAUAUAAAUACUCUUAAGGCACGUUUAUUUUCUCUAGAAACAUUUUUUUCAAAAGAAUUGCUUACCAAAUACUACUACAAAAAGCACUCUAUAAAUGAUUUUUUUAACUUUUUAGAAGUGUUUAAUAAAUUUUAUUGAUUUUUUUUCCAAAAAAAACCUUUUUAUACUGAGGGUGUUCUCUAAAAGCAUCGUUAAACAAACUCUUAUAAGGUUGCAGAAAGCUUCUAAUCAAAAUUCAAAGUUUCAACCAUUUAAAGAAGCAUUCAACAAAAAAAUCAAUCGCAAGUUUCGAUCCAACAAGGCGACCCGCAAAAGCGAAAACGACUAUGUUGUUGCUUUUCUGGAUUUGCAUUAGGUUUUUGAAGUUAAUUGUUCAAGGGUUAACAUAAAUGCGAUUCUAAUAAACAAAGACCUAUUCCAUAUUUCAGUGAUAAGCUUAAUCAUACAAAUAAGAGCUCAAUAAUCAGCCUACCGCCAUGAGUUCCAAGUAGUAUUAUUUCAUUUGUAAUAUCACAAGAAUGCAGCAAGAAUCUAUUUGUAUAAGGAGUUUUAGGUUACCUCUUCAAGUAGCUUUGCUGAAAGAAUUCUUUCAAUGACAAGAUGUAGCGAUGUAGUCCAUGGAUCAGACCAUGACUUGGUUUCUGAAUACCAGCUAUCAGCCCCCGAUAAUCUGACAAUGUGGCAUCAGACAAUGGCUCCAAGAACUCGCAGUGAGCCAAAAUUUCAGGUGGGGGCAUUCCAGCAAUGAGGUUGGUUUCCAGUUUUGGUUUCCCCUUGGUGAGCUCUCUAGGGGCUUCAACUGAGGCACAUUCAAUUGCAGAGGGGGAUGCACCGGGGAUUACUUCCUCUGUGAAAGGAAAAGCUCUUGCAGCUUGCAAGCAGAACUCUAUCCAUUGAUGGAUUACUGGAGAUGGCCCUCUGACUCGGCCCCCGAUUUGGCGGCUUCUUUCAAGUUUUGAAGUAGAUGGGAUUGCCUGCAGAAAGGAUACAGCAGAAUAUCCUAGUAAAUACACUAGUACACCAUGGAACAUAGACCAGCAUAGGAUAUCCAAAUCAGCUGAAAUAUCAAAACAGAUUCCAAUUCUCAUUAUAUUUAUCAUUAACCUGGUUCUUUCCUCAAUUUUUUUUUUCUUUUUCUUUUUAGAGCAUUAUUGAUAUAUUAGGGUUUUUGUUUUUCUUUUUUAUAGGCGAAGAUCAACACACUGUGAAGAAAGAAAGUAAAUGCAUAGUAUUAUGAGAUGAAAUCAGGACAUACCCAAAGAUCUGCCCAUAAGCUAGCUCCAGACUUAGGAACAAUUACUGCAACAUUAGACAUGCGUUUGGCUGCAGGAAGGACAUCACUACUCCACCCAACAGCCACCCAUACAUCUCCCACACUAAGUGCUUUUAUAUAGUGUGUGCUGUCAAAGCAUCGUACCUAUAUAAAGCCAUUUGAAUGCGUAAGUCCCAUUAUUGAUAUAAAAAAUAACAACCAUUGUACCACUCCAAAUGCAAAAUAGCUUUUAUGGAAUUCAAUUUCUUUUUGUUUUUCCUUUUUGACAGCACAAAAAUGGUAAGUUACCCUUACAUAAGCCAUAACUCACAAGUUGUAUCAGACUGAUUACCGUAGUUUACAAAAUCCGGUAGAAUUGACUCAGAGACUCAAAGUUAAUACAUAACAUAUCAAGUCCCAGAGCAAUACCAUCCAGUUAUUUUUGGUUAAUCACAUGAUAUUUAUUUCUUCUAUUUUAUGUUUUUUUUCCUUUUUCCUUUCUUUUCUCCAUUUCUUUGAUGAACUCACGGCUCUCAUCCUGGAUGUAAGAAAUAUCUAGCCAAUGAACAAUACUUAUUAUUGCAUGAGCGUCAGAUAAAACAACCGACAUAAUCUCAAUACCUGUUUCGCAAGCAACAUAAGAUUCUGCUGUACAGCAUUCCUCCCACCAUUAACUUGCAAUUCAAUGUUGUCUGUGUUGUAGGAUGCUCCCAUGUACUUUAAAACAGCACCAACAACCUCUCGUGGAGAAUCAAUCAUUGAAAUCCUCCCUGCAAGUUCAGGUCGCCAUAAAUCUGCCCAGUCCUGCAACCAUCAACUACUUAGUCCCAGAAUAAUUUUUUAUAGAAAACAAAGUUUUUGAAAAAUCCAUAGCAAUAGCUAGAAGUUUUUAUAAUGAGAUGAGUUGAAGCCAUGGCAAUGACAAGCAAUUAUACGAAUUCAUGCCUUCCCAAAUAAUCGGACGAACAAAUGCAGUGGUUGUGGGGGUUCUAUAGGAGACACAAUUUGCUGUGGCAUUAUUGAAAAUAUUUAUUUAUUUAUUUUUUGAUACUUAAUAUUGUUGCUACUCUUAUUCCUUUGACUUGAAGAAAUUCAAACCUGGAAUUUCCCAAAUCCCAGUCCAACCAAUUGCCCCUUGAGCCAGGCAUUAUUGGAAGCAUUUAUGGACUGAAACAACAAUCACUUAGCUAACUUUGUGGGUACGUGAUCACAUGUUGUCCUAAGAAUUGUCCUAAGAAAGACAUCUCUUAAUGUCACCAAAAUUGUGCUUCCUAUGUUCAACUCAUUAUUGAUGUUGGAUUGAAAAUUGGUUUCUUGGAGAAUUGACAUUGGGAGGAUCUACCCCUUUGCCUUCUUUUGAUCCUUGUCAAUUUCCUUCCUCAGAACAGAGAUUUCCCAAUACCCACAAUUCUCCAUUCUGAAACUCAAACUUUCAGCUUCACCAAACUAAUCAAGAAGUUAAUGGCCUGUAUAUUCUAAUCCUUUCCUUAAACCACAUUUAUCUAUCUUCAUCCUUUCCAAAUGAAAGAAUAGGAUCCAUGGCCUUCAGUUUUUUCUAAGCUAAGCCCUACUUUUCUAGCCUUUCUAAAAGUGGCAACCCAACACUCCUUUGUCAUCACCAACUUUAUUUGAAGUCCAUGGCUAUUCCAAAAAUUGGGCCUUGGCAUAGUUUAUCUGAGAUUGAAGCUCAAGAAUGUAAAUUGUAUUUUCCAGAAAUAGAUUCCAAAAGAGGAACAGAUAAGAGAUUCUUGUUCAAAUGUUUAGUUAUCAUUAGGAAUUUGAGAUUCCCCUCUAUCUUAAUAUUUUAGUUGUAGGUUUUCUCAAUAUUAUGAGAGAAAUAGAAUUGAUAGAAAAAUUAUGAACACCCCUUCAAAACAUAUUUAUUAAUAACAAAAAGAUUUAUUUAUAGGGGAAUAAAAAUGGGGUUGUCUCUUUGAUUUUUUCCAUUUUCUAAAAUCAAGAAUAAAAUAUCAUGGGUGGAGUGGGUAGGAGAUCCAACCUUGUUUGGGAUGAACUCAUACCUAAGGGAAUUGAAUUAAAAUUUUCCAAGCAAUGUGUAUCCCAAAUAGGAUAAAUUUUAUAUUCGGCAAUACACAUCCAUUUUCCAGUUAAAAUGCCUAUGAAGCAAACCAGUUAUCAAGGUCUUUAAUGUGUUAAUGGCCCUCUAGGGGGUUGGUUGUAUUUGGAUAGCAACAACUUUUUGUUACCGUUUUGACUGCCCAAAGGAUUUCUGAUCUCAUCCCUCUUUAUAUCACAUCCUUUCAUGAUAAAUAAUAUGGGUCUCCUAUCAAAGAAAAAAAAUCAAAUUAUUAAAC
rnacentral:lncRNA from 1 species